rnacentral:rRNA from 1 species
UCUCUCUGAAUCUGCGAACGGCUCCGCACACCAGUUGUAAGCUAUAGCAAGUUCGCCCGUUGGCCGGCCUUCGGGUUGGCUGGCGGGCAUUUAUAUGGAUAACCCUGGUAAUUCUGAGGCUAAUACAUGCUAAGAUCCCUGGCCGCUGGGAACGCUGUCCUUCCGGCUUUUUGGUGGCAGGGGACGUGUGAGUAUAGGCUGGGUUUACUCGGGAAAGAACGCACGUUCAGACCACCGCUUGCGGGUUCGGUAGGCGGGCGGCAGGCUUCGGCCUCGCAUGCUACCUGCUGUUCCUGGUGGCUCUUGCAAUGCGCUUCUGACCUAUCAACUAGAUGGCAGCGUAACGGACAUGCUAUGGUGACAACGGGUACAGAGGAUAAGGGUUCGAUCCUGGAGAGUGGGCCUGAGAGAUU